GACGCGGGGCUUGAACUCACAAACCGCGAGAUCGUGACCUGAGCUGAAGUCGGAUGCUUAACCCACUGAGCCACCCAGGUGCCCUGAAAUGUGCUUUAAGUGUAAAAAUGCACACUGGAUUUUGAAGACUCACUACAAAAAAAGAAGGUAAGAAACACUAAGUCAACUGGAGAAGCAUAUGUGGCCUUGAGCUAUGGGACAUUAUUACUUCCCUUUAACACCGCUACUGAGAAAUGUUGAACCUCACUUUGGUGUAGUCAGUGUUGGUCUUCGACAGUGAAUGGAUACACUGCCAGGCAGACUCCCCGACGUGGUGCUCCAUUUUGGUCAUGUCCCAGUCUCCAUGGCAAGCUCAACACCACGUUCCAGGGAACUUCCCAGAUCACCUGAACUUGGAUAAGCCCUUCCCUUCCUGAGCAGUGAUAUCAAAUUUUGAUUAAAAAAAAGUUUUUUUAUGUUUAUUUUUGAGAGAAAGAGAGAGAGAGCACAAGCAGGGG